UCUUGAUGGUGGUCAAGAUGACACAUUCUGUGGAUCUCUGUCAGUCCCUUUCUUUAGUGACUGUCUUUGACCAAUGGGAUCAUGAACAAAGUAGCCAUGGUGGCAAAGAUGGACAGUAAGUGUAGACUCAGCAAUAUGAAUUCCUACUCAUGGCUGAUCUGGUGAUAGCUACUGCCGAGUAUCCAACCCACUGACAGCAGAGCUCCACACUGAGCCCCUGAAAUAGCACCAUUUCUAGAGAAUCAGGCAGCCUCUGAUGGUGGGACUGCCAAAAGCUCAGAUCUUCAACGAUGAAGAUGUAGGUCACCCUAAUAGGAAAGAAACCAUGACCAGGUACCAUUGAACAUAAAUUGUGGUAAUGGUGAUUACCAUUUCUUUUAGUUUCAUUGGGCCACCAUAAUAAAGUCCCACAAACUGGGUGGCUUAAAACAACAGGAAUUUAUCCUCUUACAGUGUCAAGGCUAGAAGUCCAAAGUCAAGGUAUCAGCGGGUUUAGCUCCUUUGGGAAGCUCUGGGUAACAAUCUGUUCCAAACCUCUCUCAGUUUCUGGUACAACCCAGCAAGCUUUGGUGUUCCUUGGUUUGGGAUGACUCUCUCCAAGCUCGACCACCCUCAUCUUGUGGCAUUUUUUCCUUUUUGUGUGUCCAAAUUUCCCUUUUUGUGAGGACAGCAGUAAUUGGAUUAGCCUAACCCAAUACGACCUCUUUAAAACUUGACUCCAUCUGCAAAGAUCCUAUUUCCAAAUAAGAUCACAUUUACAAGGGGUCUGAGGUUGAAUGGAUAAAGAAGAUGUGGUCUAUGUAUGCACUGGAAU